rnacentral:lncRNA from 14 species
GGCUGAAUUAGGUGUAAAGUUAGCUAUAUUCCUACCAGCAGGAUGAGUUGUUUCUUGCCAAUGGGAAAGGAAGGGAGUGAGCUCUGUCAUCAGCAAACAGCAUUUAUGCCUUCCCAAUUUCCUUCCUUGCAGGCUUAUUCUGACUUUAAGAACUCUCUGGCCUUCACAAGCUUGAAAAACUGUAUAAAGGAAGCAAAAGAAAAGUUUUACAUCUGCUCUUGGCUGUCAGUCAGUGUUGGAUGCAACUGGAUGCUUAACAUCUAAAGAGAUGGAGAAAUAAAUUGCAUUGCUCGCACUGCAAGUCUGAUCAAGCUCUGAAAGGGGGUUCAAGCAUCCAGAAAGAAACUCAAAAUGGUUUGUGGCUCAUCCUAAAAAGACCUGUGUGCAAGAAACAGGACAGAGGCAGUGCUGGACAGAAAGUGGUUGCUUUGUUCUGGCUGCAAGCUGGGGUUAUCCUUUCUGCAUCGACACUAGAAAACAUCCGCAAGUAUCUGGUCUUGUUUCCUGAUGUCUGUUCACUGAGGACAAAUCUACAUUUCUCUAUGCUGAGAUCUGCCCAUAGAAAAUUACAUUCUAGGAUCAAGAAUCACAAAGGACCUUUCCUUUUAGACUUUCCUUUAAGAGGUACACAACAUAAUGAGCAAAAUGGAAUGAAGUGUAUUAACCUUUGGAAGAUGAAAGAAUAUCAGCAAUUAGCUUUUCCAGCUAAUUACUGGAUUCUACAACUGACUCUUCAAAAAGCUAUGAGGUUUAAGGCCUUUAUGUCAAGCUCUGGGUAA